GAAUGUGAGGGUGAUCCUGCUGUAACAUCUGUUACCCCAUUAAUUGCCAGGGUUGAUUAGGCUGAUCUGUCUGGCUAGGUGGGUGUUCCCUUCCUCCCUUGCCACUCCACAUACAUCCCUCCUGAAGCUGUGCUCUUAGUUGAAGAGAACGACCUUCCCCAAAUAGAAGAGGACCAGCCUUUGGUCAACAGUAUACAAGUAGCUGUGCUCCCAUUAGAACCUUCAAACAAGCUCUCAAGAAGCUUGAUUAAAGAACUAAGAAAUAUUUUAAUUUCAAAGACUAUGAAGUAUUGUCUCUUUUGGAAU
rnacentral:snRNA from 1 species